AGUUUUGCAAAGUUCGACACACAGACCAGUGAACCUUAAGCGCCCUUGUGCGGACACACAUUGUAGAGAUUUGUCACGAACUCUCGGCAGCGAUUAUAAUGACAGUAUGGACAAUUCUGAAAGCUCUGGGCAACAGCACACUUAAGGGAAAAUGAGGAGCUUAGUAGAUUGGAGAAAAUUAACCUGCCACAAACAACCUCAUUAAAGAACUGCCUACCAAGAGUUAAGAAUUAAUAGCAAAAUGGAUGGGAAAAAAAAAAAAAAAAAACCCUUGAGUGAAGAGACCUUCAACCCCCUUUCCUGAAAGGUUUCUAAUGAAGAGACUGUGUGUGUCACCGCUCAUAAGAGAGAAAAAAGAGGGAGGGAAGGAGAGAGCUCUUUAAACAAAAGACAAGGAG
rnacentral:lncRNA from 1 species